rnacentral:tRNA from 1 species
AGGGAACUAGUCCAAAGCAAGACCUCUGAUUUCGGCUCAGAAAAUCGUGGUUUAACUCCACGGCUCCCUU